rnacentral:rRNA from 1 species
AGCGAACGCUGGCGGCAGGCUUAGCACAUGCAAGUCGAGCGGGCCUUUCGGGGUCAGCGGCGGACGGGUGAGUAACGCGUGGGAACGUGCCCUCUGGUUCGGAAUAACUCAGGGAAACUUGAGCUAAUACCGGAUACGCCCUUUUGGGGAAAGGCUUGCUGCCGGAGGAUCGGCCCGCGUCUGAUUAGCUAGUUGGUGAGGUAACGGCUCACCAAGGCGACGAUCAGUAGCUGGUCUGAGAGGAUGAUCAGCCACACUGGGACUGAGACACGGCCCAGACUCCUACGGGAGGCAGCAGUGGGGAAUAUUGGACAAUGGGCGCAAGCCUGAUCCAGCCAUGCCGCGUGAGUGAUGAAGGCCUUAGGGUUGUAAAGCUCUUUUAUCCGGGACGAUAAUGACGGUACCGGAGGAAUAAGCCCCGGCUAACUUCGUG